ensembl:lncRNA
GGCGGCAGGGUAGCCUAGUGGUUAGAGUGUAGAGGCGGCAGGGUAGCCUAGUGGUUAGAGUGUAGGGGCGGCAGGUAGCCUAGUGGUUAGAGUGUGGAGGAGGCAGGGUAGCCUAGUGGUUAGAGUGUAGAGGCGGCAGGGUAGCCUAGUGGUUAGAGUGUAGGGCCGGCAGGUAGCCUAGUGGUUAGAGUGUAGAGGAGGCAGGGUAGCCUAGUGGUUAGAGUGUAGAGGUGGCAGGGUAGCCUAGUGGUUAGAGUGUAGAGGCGGCAGGAAGUCUAGUGGUUAGAGUGUAGAGGCGGCAGGGUAGCCUAGUGGUUAGAGUGUAGAGGCGGCAGGGUAGCCUAGUGGUUCGAGUGUACGACUAGUAACCGGAAGGUUGCAAGUUCCUAGGCAUUGUUCCAAGGCC